AAUAAUAAAAUGCUCCGCAGGGCGCAGCUUGAUACGACCGCAGAGGUCGAACCCUGAACAGUUGGGGCAAGUAUGGACACAACAUUCAAGCUUGAUACAGCUCUGAAUUUGGAUUGUGAUUAAAUAUUUGACACAGCAUAGGUUUCUGACACAGAAUGAAUGUGGUCUAAGAACUUGAAAAUUUUAAAUUGGACAUUCACCUAUUAUGGUCCAAUAUCCAAAAUCUAAAUACAUGGUUAGAUUCAGCAUAUCAAAGAACCCCAAGAAUUCAAUUUUUGAUGAAAUCAAACAAAGUUUAAUUUUGGACCCUUUUGACCUCAAUGUGGACAAAGUUGACAACGGGGCCCAAAAAUCAAAAAUCUAAAUACAUGGUUAGAUUCAGCAUAUCAAAGAACCCCAUAUAUUCAAUUUUUGUUGAAAUCAAACAAAGUUUAAUUUUGAUCACCGAUUUGGACCAACUUGAAAACUGGGCCCAUAAUCAAAAAUCUAAAUACAUGUUUAGAUUCAGCAUAUCAAAGAACCCUAAGAAUACAAUUUUUGUUAAAAUCAAACUUAGUUUAAUUUUGGACCCUUUGGACCUUAAUGUAGACCAAUUUGAAAACGGAACCUAAAAUUAAGAAUCUAAAUACACGGUUAGAUUCGGCAUAUCAAAGAACCCUAAUAAUUCAAUUUUUGAUGAAA